rnacentral:lncRNA from 10 species
CUUCAUCUUUGGGUAGGGGUAAGGGAAGGGUUUAUGUAUGUGCCAGGCUGAGGCUCCGGAUUUGGGCAAGCAAUGGUCAGGCUCCACGGAGGCUCAAAGAUGGAUGGUUUGAGACUUAGGGACGGAUGACAGGGAAGACCUCAGUGAUGGGGUGAUGUCUGUUGAAUGCAUUACUUGCUUUACAUUUUUAAAAGCUGAAAGCUUAAGAGCUUAUUUCUUAAGGCCGAGAAACAUGUUCUCAGCUGCAGCAAAGCAUUCUGCUCUGUCAGAUAGCCCAGAGUUGGUCCAAAACAAAGGUGGGAAGUCGUCUGUGUUUGUGGCCCCUCCCUGCCUUUCUGUGGGGCUUCCCCACUUUCUGAUAGAGCCACCUGGCAGGUGCCCAGCAGUUCUCAACAGCCUGUAGCAUGGUCCUGGAGUCUCCAGCAAGCCAUCCAGGUGUCAUCAGCACUGGGCCUUGCAACCCGGAGCCCUGCAACCCUGUGGUAGAGCUGCACAGGGAUGGGGAGGAUCGCGGGAUUUAGAGUCAAGAGGACCUGUGUUCUGGGCCUGGGUCUUAGACAAAUCCCUGAUCCUGAGCCUGAUUCUUCAGCUAUAAACAGCAUUUUUCAUACUUAUCAGAUGGGUUUGGAGAUUGAGCAAAUAUGAAGGUUUUUCUCAUUCCUCUCCAGCCUUCCCUUCCCUCCUCCUCAUUCGCAGCUAUCAUCAGUCAUACAGGGUUCCCCAGCUGCCCAGUCUCAGCCCCCCACCUUGUUUCCAUCCUAGUGUUAUCACAGUCUGUGAUUAUUUUAUGGGUUGUUGACUUAUUUUCUGUCUCUCUGUCCCCUACGUUGUUGUAAGCUCCAUAAAGGCAGGGACUUCAUUCAGGAACAUAGUCCCAGUGCCUGGCACAGGGUAGUCACUCCAUAAAUAUUUGUUCAAGGAACCAACCAACAAACUCACUUACAUGGAGGUGAUAGACCCUUACUCUAUUCCCUCCUGUGGUGUAACGUAAAUUGCAAGACGGAAGCCUCAGGAAAAGUAGGAAUGAACUGGGAGGAGGGAACUAAGAUAUCCUGAGCACUUUCUAAGGGCAAGGCACUGAGCAAAGUAAUUAAGGUACUUUAUCCAUGACAAUGGCCAUGCAUGAUAGACCAUAACAUCCUGCUGGUUACUGAUCAUACCUGUUGAUGAAUUCCAAAAGAGCAGUUGCUAUCUCAAAGGCAAGCAAGGUCAUGGAGGGCAGGAAAAGCACAACCCUGAAUGCAGAACGAGCACCACCAGGGUCUUGAAACCUUACAAACAACUUCAUAAAUCCUGCACUGGGCUUCCUUAUUGACCACACAGGCUUCCUAUCAAACAUGAAUGAAGAGGAGGUGGACUGUAUUACAAAAUUAAUAAUGUAAGAUGGUGGCUGCCAAAGCCAUUCAUAAUCGUAAUUGCUUUUGCAUGUGUUUUCUUGAAAGCAACUUCAUAUUUGUCAGCAACUAGGAAUGAAGGCGCUUCCUUUGAUACUUAUAUGUACAGGCACAAAAUAGAGUUGAACUUUGCUGCACACAAUAAAUGUGUUGUGAAAAUACGUGUUUGAAGUCUAAUAAACAGACUUUUAUUUUGCCCAUGUGGGCCAGUGGAGGCUCCCAAGAGGCUGUCCACGGGGACCAUGUUAGGUCUCUUCAGGCUUCAAGGGCAAGUCUAAGGGGGGAAGACCCCCAUGAUGGUGUGCCCUUUUGUUCUGAAGCAGCUGCCUCCCUCUGCUUUGGUGCCAGGCACUGAAAACAUUUUUCUUGAUUUAGGGGCCCCACUUAUACUUAACAUAGACAAGAGAUACCAGGAUGUGCUCACAUCAUAGUGAGCAUACACAGCAAGAACACGUAGUGUGUCCAUCAGUGUCCUCAUCACAUUGCUCUCCUUGUGUUUGUUGCAAGGCUGCUGGUCUCCCUUCCAGACUGAGCUCCUCAUGGGCCAGGGCUGUGCUUGAGCUGUCCUUGAAUUCCUAGUGUUAGAAAAGGGCACAGCCUGUGGGAGCCCCGGAUGAAUGUGCUGGACCAAAUGGCAGAGCUAGAGUCCAAACCCUGCUCUCACUCUGUCCACACCCAGGGCUCUUUCUAUUCUACUGUCAGUUCCCUGGCUGAGCAGAGCUACAGGCCCAUGGGAGAGGACUGGGGAAUGAC